CUCAAUUCCCUUGAGCGCGAGUCCUGAGCAGUGAGCCCUAACCCCACGCCUCCCACCCCCAAAUCCCAAUCGAAAGCUCUCAGCCUCUCACAGUCGCGCCGGUGCACCCAGCCACUAAGCCACCCACGUUCUCUGCAGUGGCACUCUCUUCUCACGGCGGCGAACCCACGUUCCUCCCAGUCUCCCACCACCUCGCAGCGAAGCCUUCCUCCCAACGCCGCCGAACCUCUUCGCGGACAGAGCACGACAAAGCCCCAGCCACAGCCUGAACGUCCCUCGCACACAGCAGUAGUAGUCUAGCAGAGCACCACCCUCGCAGUCUCGCACCCAGCAGUAGCAGAGCACCACCCUCGCCACCCACAACACAGCACCCACCAAUCACCGAUUCAAGUCUCCCACCCAGUCACCGACUCAACACAGCACCCACGUUCCUCCCAAUCUUCCACCCAGCCACCGAUUCAAGUCAGAUAUGGAGCCCGAGCCACCGAGUUAGUGUUGCUGUCUUGUUGACUUGCUGUCUGUUGAUUUAUUGUUUGCUGUUUGUUAGUUUGAUGUCAGUUCAAGUGAAAAUAUGGGCGACACUGAAUUUGCUGUUAAUACUGAAAUUACUGGGUUCAUACUGAAUUACUGAAACUGCUUCUGGGUUGUUCAUACUGAAUUAUUGAAAUUGCUGUUCUAUUUGCUGUUCUGUUUGUUGUUAUGUGAUAAUAUCCGAAAACUUGAUCUGAAACUACUUCUGGUUUAUUUUUAUUAUUAGUUAUUUUGGAAAAAUAAAAAAAUUAAAUUUUAACUGAUUUAGUAUGAUUUAGUAUGAUUUAUUACUUUUGUUUCCAAUUCUAUAUAUAUGGAGAAUUGGUUUGUUAGCAGCAGGACAAAAUAGCACAAUUACAGCAGGACAAUUCAUAACCGAAGGGUUUUUGAAGGUAAAUAUAAAGAAAUAGUUAAGGUCAUUGAUUACUAGAAGUUGUGCUAUUGUUCCAACAAUGAUAGCUGCUAUAGUUUUUAAUACAUCAGAGAGUUCAUUAGAUACUAUGAAUGAAUGGCUGAAUGUGGUUCAGUCAAUUCAGAUUCCUUUUGCACUCAUUCUACUUCUUACAUUGGUGUCUAAAGAAGAGGUAAUGGGAACUUUUAGAAUAGGCCCAAUUGUAGAGGUAAGCUUUGUUUGCAUUCUAACUUUUGUAGAAUUGAUUUUGAUGUAUUCGAACUUUUAGAAUAGUGAUUUCUUCCUUCCAAAA